rnacentral:pre_miRNA from 1 species
GCAGGUUGAGGUAGUAGUUUGUGCUGUUGGCCGGGGCGACGUGCUGCCCCACAUGGAGAUGACUGCGCAAUCUACUGCCUUGCCGGC